AGAACGAACGCUGGCGGCAUGCCUAACACAUGCAAGUCGAACGGGCACCUUCGGGUGCUAGUGGCGCACGGGUGCGUAACGCGUGGGGAUCUGCCCUUAGGUACGGAAUAACUCAGGGAAACUUGAGCUAAUACCGUAUAAUGACUUCGGUCCAAAGAUUUAUCGCCUAGGGAUGAACCCGCGUAGGAUUAGCUUGUUGGUGAGGUAAAGGCUCACCAAGGCGACGAUCCUUAGCUGGUCUGAGAGGAUGAUCAGCCACACUGGGACUGAGACACGGCCCAGACCUCCUACGGGAGCAGCAGUGGGGAAUAUUGGACAAUGGGCGAAAGCCUGAUCCAGCAAUGCCGCGUGAGUGAUGAAGGCCUUAGGUGUAAAGCUCUUUACCGGGAUGAUAAUGACAGUACCGGAGAAUAAGCUCGCUAACUCGUGCCAGCAGCCG
rnacentral:rRNA from 1 species